rnacentral:rRNA from 1 species
CGCGUAGGCGGUUUGCUAAGUCAGAUGUGAAAUCCCCGGGCUUAACCUGGGAACUGCAUUUGAGACUGGCAGGCUAGAAUGUGGUAGAGGUGAGUGGAAUUCCAGGUGUAGCGGUGAAAUGCGUAGAGAUCUGGAGGAACAUCAGUGGCGAAGGCGACUCACUGGGCCAUUAUUGACGCUGAGGUGCGAAAGCGUGGGUAGCAAACA